AGACGUAGGGGGCGAGCGUUGUCCGGAAUUACUGGGCGUAAAGAGCACGUAGGCGGAUGUAUAAGUCAGGUGUGAAAGACCGCAGCCUAACUGCGGGAUUGCACUUGAAACUGUAUAUCUUGAGGGCAGGAGAGGUUAGUAGAAUUCCUGGUGUAGCGGUGAAAUGCGUAGAAAUCAGGAGGAAUACCAGUGGCGAAGGCGACUGACUGGACUGACCCUGACGCUGAGGUGCGAAAGCGUGGGUAGCAAACAGGAUUAGAUACCCUGGUAGUCCACGCCGUAAACGAUGGAUACUAGGUGUGGGAGGUAUCGACCCCUUCCGUGCCGCAGCUAACGCAAUAAGUAUCCCGCCUGGGGAGUACGGUCGCAAGGCUGAA
rnacentral:rRNA from 1 species